GGCGCAGGCCGAGUUAAGAGCUUUAAUCCUGUGAAGACAUCUUAGUGAAGAGUUUAGAGUGCUGAGAGUUGAAAGCUUGCACGUGGGAAACGUGCGGCCGGACUGCCACAUGUACUGAGGUUGAGUCGUGACGGCCACAGGCUCCGAGUUUUGGCGUGAGGAACCGCUGAUCGGCCACGGGCGCCGAACUUGCUGGCCUCCGGCAUGUGCCUGAGCGGCGGCGGAAAAACCACCUUAAUUGGGGCGGAGGGUUAGUUUUAACAGCAAAGGGCCUUUACUAAAAUGGCGAAGGCCUUCCGUCGGCGUUGUUUUAAAAUGGGAAGCCUCGACCCUGUAUUGAAACUGAGCUGUUCGAAGGCGGCGUUGUGUGCAAUUCGGAUUAAUGAAGGGGAAGGGUUUUGUGUGGAAAAACGCCUUGGAGUGUGACAUUUCUGCGAGAAUGCUUAAAUACCGAUUUCCCGCAGGAACAAUGGCGCUGUCUUCAGUGGCACAGUGGAGCAGCUCUGAAGAUGCAAAGUGAGGGUCGCUGUCUGCCCAUUGAUAGAGGCCAGAUUGUCUUGGAAGUUCCAAAGUUGCAACGAUUUCUGGCUAGUGCCACGAGGUUUACUUGACUGUUGUGUGAAAAGCUGAUAAGAAAACCAUCCAGAAAAAAGCUCUUCGUUUUACAAACAUGAAAAUAAAACAUGUAAUUUUGGA
rnacentral:lncRNA from 1 species